rnacentral:rRNA from 1 species
ACGUAGGGGGCGAGCGUUGUCCGGAAUCACUGGGCGUAAAGCGCGCGCGGGUGGUUUCGUAGGUCGGCCGUGAAAGACAUGGGCUCAACCCGUGCAGGUCGGUGGAUACCGCGAGACUGGAGUAUGGGAGAGGAAGGUGGAAUUUCCGGUGUAGCGGUGAAAUGCGUAGAUAUCGGAAGGAAUGCCGAUUGCGAAGGCGACUUUCUGGCACAUCACUGACGCUGAGGCGCGAAAGCCGGGGGAGCAAACAG